GUAUUCAGUAAUGGUUUCGUCAAGGUAGUUCUCUUGCCAUUUAUGUUGGAGUGAAACUUUUGAGCUAUGCAUAUAUUUCAUAUAUUUGUAUUCAUCAUUGUUUAGAUGUGUGACAUGGUGCAUAUAGGUUAUAGUUGCCAGUUGUGUAAUUUAGUCCUGUUGUCUUACCAGCUUAUUAAGUCAGAUUGACCUGGCUCUUUCAGCUGCUGUUUUGAACAUAGAGGUUGAAGAGAUUUAAAAUAUCAAGGCAGAGGGGAAUCAUGGGCUUCAGUGUCCUUUUCUCCAUAUAAUUUGAUUGUUUCUCUUUUUAUGUUGGAGAGUUUUCUUUGAUAAAUUUCUUUGUAAAUCACUUGAACUUAACUCCUUCCGUCCUUUUUAU
rnacentral:misc_RNA from 1 species